CGGACGGGUGAGUAAUGUCUGGGAAACUGCCUGAUGGAGGGGGAUAACUACUGGAAACGGUAGCUAAUACCGCAUAACGUCGCAAGACCAAAGCGGGGGACCUCCGGGCCUCGCGCCAUCAGAUGAACCCAUAUGGGAUUAGCUUGUAGGUGGGGUAACGGCUCACCUAGGCGACGAUCCCUAGCUGGUCUGAGAGGAUGACCAGCCACACUGGAACUGAGACACGGUCCAG
rnacentral:rRNA from 1 species